rnacentral:tRNA from 1 species
UGCACCGGUAGCUCAACGGCAGAGCAGUUGACUCUUAAUCAAUUGGUUGAAGGUUCAAGUCCUUCUCGGUGCAG